AGCGAACGCUGGCGGCAGGCCUAACACAUGCAAGUCGAACGAACCUUUCGGGGUUAGUGGCGGACGGGUGAGUAACACGUGGGAACGUGCCUUUAGGUUCGGAAUAACUCAGGGAAACUUGUGCUAAUACCGAAUGUGCCCUUCGGGGGAAAGAUUAAUCGCCUUUGGAGCGGCCCGCGUCUGAUUAGCUAGUUGGUUGAGGUAAUGGCUCACCAAGGCGACGAUCAGUAGCUGGUCUGAGAGGAUGAUCAGCCACAUUGGGACUGAGACACGGCCCAAACUCCUACGGGAGGCAGCAGUGGGGAAUCUUGCGCAAUGGGCGAAAGCCUGACGCAGCCAUGCCGCGUGAAUGAUGAAGGUCUUAGGAUUGUAAAAUUCUUUCACCGGGGACGAUAAUGACGGUACCCGGAGAAGAAGCCCCGGCUAACUUCGUG
rnacentral:rRNA from 1 species